UGGUCGGCUCUGGUCUUCAUCUUACUGUCAUCAGAUCUGGAUGAGUUCAACCUGAAGAAAUACUCCCGUUCAGAGAAGGCAUUUUUGAAGCUGCUGCCAGUGGUCAAAGCCUCCAAGAAAGUGCUGCUGAGAGAUUGUAAACUCUCAAAAAGAAGCUUUGAAGCUUUGUCUGAAAUUCUCAGCUCCCCAUCCAAUCAUCUGAGAGAGCUGGACCUGAGCUCGAACAAACUGCAGGAUUCAGAAUUGGAUUUGCUGUGUGUUGGACUAAAGAGUCCUGACUGUAAACUUGAAACUCUCAGAUUGGAGCGCUGUGAUUUGUCAGAGAUCAGCUGUGAUUAUCUGGAAGCAGUGCUGAAGCUCAACCCUUCGUAUCCCAGAGAGGUGGACCUGAGCUCUCACAAGCUUCAGGAUUCAGGAGUGAAGCAGCUGUGUGUUCUUCUGGAGAAUCCACAACAUCAAAUUGAAACUCUGAGGUCAGUCUCCACGUUUUAGUUGUGCUGACACUGUCGAUCUGUGGAACUAAAACCUUUAUACAGGAAGUCUGGUUCAGCUCUUUGUAGACCUUCUAAUCUCUGAUGCUCUGAGUCUUACUCAGUAGGUGAUGCAGAGUUGUGAAGCCGAUGUGGGUGAG